UACGGGGGGGGGCAAGCGUUGUUCGGAAUUACUGGGCGUAAAGGGCUCGUAGGUGGCCAACUAAGUCAGACGUGAAAUCCCCAGGCUCAACUUGGGAACUGCGUCUGAUACUGGAUGGCUUGAAUUCGGGAGAGGGAUGCAGAAUUCCAGGUGUAGCGGUGAAAUGCGUAGAGAUCGGGAGGAACACCUGUGGCGAAGGCGGCCAACUGGGCCGACCCUGACGCUGAGGCGCGAAGGCGUGGGGAGCGAACGGG
rnacentral:rRNA from 1 species